UGAACACACCCAUUAAACAAUAAACAACCAAGUUCCUCCAGUAGCUGUGCAGCAGACCUGCACAUGUCCACACUGGCAGACAUCUGAGACAUCUUCUGUCCAGACGUUAAUCUUCUGGAAUAAAUAAUGUGUGUGUGUUCUUUUGUUUUGUAGAUGUUUUAGUGGGAAAAAAAACAUCAGAUACAAAUCACUUUUGUUGCAGCUCCAGCUGAAUUUCAUAAUGCUUCCUGUCUGUGUUGUUUCCUCAGUCUGUUCCUGUUGUGUCUCCUCCCCUCUGUGUGUGUGUCUGUGUUUCAUUGGCAGGGACAGGGCACAGCUGGUGGAGCCUGACACUCUUCUUCAUUCAUCUCAUUACCUGCUGUAUAAGAACCCAGCUCUCUCUCAACUCCACGCCUGAUACUUGUGCUACUGAUGUGGUGUGGUCGCUUAUUUCAAGUGAAGCUUCUAGUGAUUAUACUCAGUUCUUCUUGAUGAAUUGUAGUACUCUGUACUGUACGUCUCUGCUCUGGGGUUCUGGUCAAACAAACUUUUCCAAGCACAGUAUUUCUGUGUGUAUUAAAAUGUCUGGGGGCGUCUUUGAUGUUUCAGAUGUUCUGAACACUGUAAAAUACAAAAGGCAGUAUUGUGACAUGUGAUGGUGUUAUUAUGAAGUGGACAGAGGAAUGUCCAGAGGAAGUGAAAGAUUUAAAGGGAACAAGGAGUGUUAGCUUUUGCCACACUUAGCAGCAAGUUUCAGUUUUCAGUUCAAACACAAUGUCUUAUGAUUACUGUCACUUUUAUUGAUGCACUGUAACAUUUGUGUUUGUAUGUCACUGGAGGAAUAUUCCAGCAGGUUCUCUGAUGAUUGACAUGUGUGGAAUCUCUUUCAUGGUCUCUGACCACAGAGGGUUUUGUUUAUUAUCAGACCUCUGAGGCCUGCUCCUUAUCUCUGCUGCAGGGUGGAGGCUCGAAAUGACACAGCUCUAUAACACACAUGAAUCACUGACCCAACUGUUGGCAGUACAGUUGCAUUGUGGGAAAUCUAGGCAAACUGGGGCAAUAUUUAAGAUGAUAUCUCUACAGUGCUGCUUGAAAGUAAGUGAACCCCUUGAGCAAUUUUACCAUGAUUUUCUUAUUUUAUCAUCACCAGCUUAUAUAUAUAUAUAUGAAAUGGUGGGUUUAUGUUUAUCAAUUGCAUGUACUUGUUUUGAGUUGUGUGAGUAGCCAGAAAACUAUGUGAAACAUGGAAUUAGUGUAUGUGUAAGUGAACCCCCAGCUGCACUGGUAAAGUUAAGUAGGUAAAAGAUUCAGGUGAAACACAUUUGGGUGCUCAAUUAAUCAAGCAGACCAAUCAAAUGAGGCAUCCCUAGGAAAGGGUUUGAUUGAUUGAUUUGACUGAUUAAAUGAGAGGAAACCAACCAGAGCAUUGUACUGCCAAGGUGUACCCAUACAGAUCAACAAUGCAGAGAGGAGACACACAAUCAGGAAGAAGGUAGUGACCAUCUCCAAAAGAUUCCAGCUCCAUCCACCUACUGGAAGAAAAAUCAUUUACAAAUGGAGACAAUUCAACAUGACCACAACUCUGCCUAGAAGUGGAUGCCCAUCAGAACUAUCACCAAGAAGCAUCAAGGGAAAAAAAUCAGGUCUGCUUUACAAAUUGAAAUUUGGAUUUAUUAAGCUCUUCCACUCCUGUGUGCUGAUGCAUUCACGGGCUGCCCUGCCAGGACAAUGGUAGGGGAAACACUGCUGUUGUUGUGUCACGUCACCAGAUGUCAAACUGCGCUGACGCAAGUGGGCUACAGUUUCUAUUUGGAGUCAACACUCUUGCUACAUGUUUGAGUAGAAAUAGAUCUAUUCUUUUCCCAU